rnacentral:rRNA from 1 species
GUAACGGCGAGUGAAGAGGGAAGAGCCCAGCACCGAAGCCUGUGGCCGUUUGGCCCCUAGGCAAUGUGGUGUUCAGGUUAGCUCGCGGGGAUGCUGCUCCACCCUAAGUCCUAAAAUGAGUAAGGUUACUCGGACGUGGCCCAUUGAGGGUGAAAGGCCCGUGGGGGUGGAGAGUCAGACUGGCCAGUAUCUCCCUGAGCAGACCUUGGAGUCGGGUUGUUUGUGAAUGCAGCCCAAAGCGGGUGGUAAACUCCAUCCAAGGCUAAAUACUAGCACGAGUCCGAUAGCGAACAAGUACCGUGAGGGAAAGUUGAAAAGUACUUUGAAGAGAGAGUAAACAGUGCGUGAAGCCGUUCAGAGGUAAACGGGUGGAGUUGAACUGCAAGCUCUGAGGAUUCAACUGGUGAGAUUGGCGUGAGCUUGGUCACGUGGGUUGUAUUGCUGUGUCUGCUUAGCUGCAGGUCCUCGCCUCGGUGGGGAUGCGCGUCUAGCUUAUCAAGCUUUGCGCGCACGGUGUUUUUCGAGCCCGCUUGCCAGUGCACUUUCUCAGAGUGUUCACCACGACCGGCGUUGCUGUCUGGCUGAUGGGGUUAAACCGGUCUUGUAGGGUCCUUGUGGCCUUGCUUGGUCGGGAUGGCAGGUAGCCCGUUGUGUAUUUUAUAUGCUUCGGGUGUAAUAGCCGACUUCAUCGGUUCUGUGCGGUACGUCGGAGACGGCGGCUUGUUGUGCGUGCGGGCGUGCCUGUGUGCUGGCGGCUCUGGGUCUGGUUGCCUUGUUGCUUGCGAAUGCAGGCCAGGUGAUGGCUCGGGGUCGUUUGGUGUGCGGUUGCGUUCGUGGCACUUUGAAGGGCCAACAGUCUGUGGUGUAGUGGUAGACUAUCCACCCGACCCGUCUUGAAACACGGACCAAGGAGAGUAACAUGUGCGCGAGUCAUUGGGCGUUACGAAACCCAAAGGCGUAGUGAAAGUAAAGGUUCGGCUUGUCUGGACUGAGGUGAGAUCCUGUCGUUUCUCACGCAUGGUACUACCAAGCAUCGAGCGGCAGGCGCAUCACCGGCCCGUCCCAUGACGUAGUGGUGGCUUCGGCUUGCCCAUCGUCGGGGCGGAGCAUGAGCGUACAUGUUGAGACCCGAAAGAUGGUGAACUAUGCUUGCGCAGGUUGAAGCCAGAGGAAACUCUGGUGGAGGACCGCAGCGAUUCUGACGUGCAAAUCGAUCGUCAAACGUGAGUAUA